rnacentral:rRNA from 1 species
GAUGAACGCUGGCGGCGUGCUUAACACAUGCAAGUCGAACGAAGAUGCCGGAGUGCUUGCACUUUGGCAGACUGAGUGGCGGACGGGUGAGUAACGCGUGGGUAACCUGCCUUAUACAGGGGGAUAACAGUUGGAAACGACUGCUAAUACCGCAUAAGCGCACGGUAUCGCAUGAUACAGUGUGAAAAACUCCGGUGGUAUAAGAUGGACCCGCGUCUGAUUAGCUUGUUGGUGAGGUAACGGCCCACCAAGGCGACGAUCAGUAGCCGGCCUGAGAGGGUGAACGGCCACAUUGGGACUGAGACACGGCCCAAACUCCUACGGGAGGCAGCAGUGGGGAAUAUUGCACAAUGGGGGAAACCCUGAUGCAGCGACGCCGCGUGAGUGAUGAAGUAUUUCGGUAUGUAAAACUCUAUCAGCAGGGAAGAUAAUGACGGUACCUGACUAAGAAGCACCGGCUAAAUACGUAGCCAGCAGCCG